UACCAUAGGCUGGUGGCUUAUAUACGACAGAAUCCGUUCCCUACAGCCCUGGAGGCUGGAAGUCCAAGAUCAGGGCAUCCACAGACUCAGUGUCUAAGGAGAUCCCCCCGUCCUGGUUCACAGAAGGCGUCUUCUCACUGAUUUGGAGGAAGUGAAUAUUUGGUAAGCAUCUACUGUGUGCCACCGAUCCGGUUAAGUGAUGGGCAAGAAGUAGUGGCCAAAACAAGAACCAAAAAGAGUUCCUGGGUCCUGCCUCAUGGAAGAUCUCCCUGAGGACGUGUGAGCACAUUGUGGGCGGCAGCCACCUCCAAGCCGAGGGAAGAGGCCUCAGACGGAGACCCACCUGCCUGGCACCUGGGUCCUGGACUUCCCACCUGCAGACGGUGAGAAGGAAAGUUCUGUUGUCUCUGCUGCCCACUCUAUGGCAUUUUGCUAGGGCUGCUGGUGACGAAUACAAACUCCAUUACAAUAAUCCCCACAGCAGGAAGCGGUAACCCCUUCUCUGAGUUUACCAUCUUACUGCUGUGUUCAUAAUCUCCUACCAAAUACCACCACACACAUGCAUGGAUUUUUACCCUUGUAGAUGCAUAAUAAGCUGUUUAAGGGCAGGGACCCUGUCUCGUGUCCUAGCAUCUAUCCUUUGGUCUUAUUUCACGAAAGUGGUCUGUCAAUAAUUUUCAGUGCCGAAAUGUACAAUUAACAAUGAAUGUUUUUAUGGUAAAGAUUUCCUCAUGUACGGAACUAUUUCAUUUCUGACUGCAUUCAUGUGAAGUCCAAGAGGAAAACAAAGGGACAUAGAUGGCAUUUCAGUGCAAAUGGGAGAAAGGGUGAGGGAAGAAAGGAUCCAUUUAAAAAAAUAAUCUGUGAUGAAAGAAAUAAAAUCAUUCAGAUAUGCUGCAUUCCAAAAGGCUGGCCUUCUCCCUCUUCGAUACACAUGUGCUUCCUUCUGCACGUCCACACGAUUCCAGGCUUAGUUUCUCUUUUUCCUUUGAAUUGUAUUAUUUUAAGACCAACUGAAGUGACACCCCUUCCUCAUACUCCGUGCAGUAGAGACCUCAUUUUCUUACCUUUUAAAUUGCAGCAGACAAUAGUAAAUGAGGCUCCUGGAUCGUAAGCAUGUUCCUUGUGUAUGAUGUAUUCUGUAUCUUCUGCUAGUUCUUGAAUUAAGAGCUCUGAUUACAUCCCUUCCAUAGAAUCCCCAUCAAACUGGGUGCCAAGCCUCGUACACGGUUUCAGAUCAGCGUUUGGCUGCAGAUUUUUCAUUCGUCGAUUUAAUUUAGGAUACUAUGGUUCCUGGUUGUUAUUACAUAUCCCUUCCACAUUUUGUAUUAAACUGUUCUGAGGCAUUCACAUUGCAGACUGGACCCAGAAGUAACACAAGAUCCAUCCCCAUUCUCUUAAAUACUAAAACCCUGGCUCAUGUCACAUAAAUUCUUCCUAGGCUCCCAGGGGCAUUAAUGCGGACGCUGGGUCUGGUUCUGUGAAAUUCUCCUAUUUUUUUCUGCCCUUCACCUGCCUCAUUCCAGCAUACAAGCAUAGGCUGAGCAGGACCCUGCCACUCCGAGGCGCGUGAUGCACAAUAUUACACUGGGCAUUUUUAAGAAGCCAAUUUAGCAAACUUGAAAGGUCCCAGUGCAUUAAUUUUAAACUCUUCCAUAAUUUCAGCAUGCACCUUUAGCCUCCAUAGCAAUCUUAGGAAGAUUUUGAUACCUGAUCUGGCCUAGGCUUCUUCUUAUUUAUACUGAAUUGCGCAAAGAAUUGGGCGAGCAGUAUUGACCUGUAUUGUGUCCGAGAGGAAAACGCUUAAAAGUUCCUGUUCUUCAUUUCAGCUUUCCUGGAGCCUCACUUUGUAUGGAAGAUGGACUAACUGGAGAGAACAAAGCUGUCACAAAGCAAGACCCACUGCUAAAGUCAAUUCAUCAUGAAAUUUAUUAGAGUGAACUAAAAAGCAACUUACUGGCUUACCCAGAAAGGUACCAUUAUUUUGAUUUAUUUUUAAAGUACCCAGUUUUCUCAUCCCUAUUUCUGUUCAUAUUUGUCCCUUUUUAUUUUGAUAUAUUUUCAAGCAUACAGAUAAUGUCUAAGUUUAUACAAAAUUGACUGGAAACAUGUAACAUACUCAGAGUAUGUUAAAAUCAUGCCACAUUUGCUUCACUGUAUACCAUCGAUCUGUCAUCUGUAUCAUCUGUCAUCUUUCAUCUAAUCUCUUUCCUGUGUUUCUCAUGCACACACAUUCACGUAACACACGUGCACACGCCCCUACAUACAAAGUAGAUGCAUAACUUGCUGAACCGUUUGAUGCCGAGGCACACAUAUCACACCUACAGAGCAGUAAACGUCUUGAUGUGUGUGUCCUAAGGCUGAAGACUGCCCGGGUCUGCUGCAGUCAUCAAAGUCAGGGAAAUCGGGACUGGUUCUAUGACCUGAUUCACAGCCACAUUUCGGCACCGCCCAUUGUCUGCAAUUUCCCUUUUAGGUUAGUUUUUCCUUUCCCGGGCUGACCCCCCACAGCGCCGUGACCUGCCUUACCUGGUCCCGUAGCUGCACUGUCCCGUAUGGAACAGUCUGUCAUCGUGUUUCGUGACAGCACAGUGCUGAAGGUCACAGGACCUGGAAGGUGAGGAACUCAGACCCAUUGAAGUGGUAGAAAUGCUGCACACCGACUGCUAAUGGAACAUAAACAAAGCAUUUGCACUAUGGCAUUUUUAUGAGGUGCUGUGCCUUAUCUCAGUGCCCAUCUCCUGAAGGUCGAACUGAAGAAACAUUGAACGAAGCUUUGAAUGUUACACAGAGCUGGCACUUAUUGUC